rnacentral:rRNA from 1 species
AUGUCGCCGGCGGAGAUGGAGUCCGACAAGGUCGUUGAGGCGGCGGCGGAUCCUGAGGAGCGAGGCGCUGGCGACCCCAAGGCCUGCGACGACUGCAACACCACCAAGACGCCGCUCUGGCGCGGCGGACCCAACGGACCAAAGUCGCUGUGCAACGCGUGCGGGAUCCGGUACCGGAAGAGGCGGCGGGUGGCCAUGGGGCUCGACCCGGAGGCCAAGAGGAAGCCCAAGAGGGACGACGCCGCCAUAUCCAUAUCCAAGGCAGCAGCCGAAGCAGCAGCACAGGCUUCUACUACCAAGGAGGAGGACACCAAGGCAGGGGACCAGAAGGCCGACGAUGAGAAGGCGGCCAAGAAGACCAAGAAGACGGCGACGACGCACACCGUGGAGCUCCACAUGGUUGGGUUCGCCAAGGACGCGGUGCUGAAGCAGCAGCAGCGGCGGCGGCGGCAGAUGCGACGGAGGAAGCCGUCGUGCCUGGGCGAGGAGGAGCGCGCCGCCAUCCUCCUCAUGUCACUCUCCUCAGGCGUAAUAUACGCCUGA